GAGGAUGUAGCUCAAUUGGUAGAGCAAUGAACAAAGCUUGAUGUAGGUGCGGGGUUUGAUUCCUCGCAUCUCCA
rnacentral:tRNA from 1 species